ensembl:ncRNA lncRNA:CR44234 long non-coding RNA:CR44234
GCUUUGAUGGGGUAAUUUCUCUCACUACACUGUACGGAAGGCAGCGAAAAGCGUUCUUAGGAUGAACCAAUUGCGGCCAAAAAUGACGGCUCCUUGAUUGCAGGCAUCUUGCAGAAGUUGGGGAGAAAAAGUGUGUCAAUGUGAUGGAGUCCUAGGGGAAGGUAAGUAGUCCUCAAUUUAUAGGUCGAUCCGCUGGAGAACAACCUUUUACGAAAAGACAGUCUUUCGAAGCCUACGCCUGUAAAAAGCAAAGACUUAGACAUGCAAACAUUAACAAUAAAAUGUUUCG